rnacentral:RNase_P_RNA from 1 species
CGAGUCGGCCGGGCGGUCGCGUCGGCGGGGAGACCCGCCGCCGAGGAACGUCCGGGCUCCACAGGGCAGGGUGGUCGCUAACGGCGACCCGGGGUGACCCGCGGGACAGUGCCACAGAGAACAGACCGCCAGCGGCUCGCCGCUGGUAAGGGUGAAACGGCGGUGUAAGAGACCACCGCACACCGGGUGACCGGUGUGGCUCGGUAAACCCCACCCGGAGCAAGGUCAAGAAAGGACGGCGGUUCGCCGCCGUCCCGCGCAGGCGUUCGAGGGCGGCCCGCCCGAUGCCUGCGGGUAGACCGCUGGAGCCUG